UCUAAUACCGGAUAUGACUGUCUGACGCAUGUCAGGUGGUGGAAAGCUUUUGUGGUUUUGGAUNGACUCGCGGCCUAUCAGCUUGUUUGGUGGGGUAAUGGCCUACCAAGGCGACGACGGGUAGCCGGCCUGAGAGGGUGACCGGCCACACUGGGACUGAGACACGGCCCAGACUCCUACGGGAGGCAGCAGUGGGGAAUAUUGCACAAUGGGCGCAAGCCUGAUGCAGCGACGCCGCGUGAGGGAUGACGGCCUUCGGGUUGUAAACCUCUUUCAGUAGGGAAGAAGCGAAAGUGACGGUACCUGCAGAAGAAGCGCCGGCUAACUACGUGCCAGCAGCCGCGGUAAUACGUAGGGCGCAAGCGUUAUCCGGAAUUAUUGGGCGUAAAGAGCUCGUAGGCGGUUUGUCGCGUCUGCUGUGAAAGACCGGGGCUCAACUCCGGUUCUGCAGUGGGUACGGGCAGACUAGAGUGCAGUAGGGGAGACUGGAAUUCCUGGUGUAGCGGUGAAAUGCGCAGAUAUCAGGAGGAACACCGAUGGCGAAGGCAGGUCUCUGGGCUGUAACUGACGCUGAGGAGCGAAAGCAUGGGGAGCGAACAGGAUUAGAUACCCUGGUAGUCCAUGCCGUAAACGUUGGGCACUAGGUGUGGGGGACAUUCCACGUUUUCCGCGCCGUAGCUAACGCAUUAAUGCCCCGCCUGGGANACGCCG
rnacentral:rRNA from 1 species